UACGUAGGGCGCAAGCGUUGUCCGGAAUUAUUGGGCGUAAAGAGCUCGUAGGCGGCUUGUCACGUCGGUUGUGAAAGCCCGCGGCUCAACCGUGUGGUCUGCAGUCGAUACGGGCAGGCUAGAGUUCGGUAGGGGGAGACUGGAAUUCCAGGUGUAGCGGUGAAAUGCGUAGAUAUCUGGAGGAACACCGGUGGCGAAGGCGGCAUCCUGGACCAAUUCUGACACUGAGGAGCGAAAGCCAGGGGAGCAAACGGG
rnacentral:rRNA from 1 species